UACAGAGGUCUCAAGCGUUGUUCGGAUUCAUUGGGCGUAAAGCGCACGUAGGCGGCUUGGUAUGUCGGGUGUGAAAUCCCCGGGCUCAACCUGGGGAACUGCAUCCGAAACUGCCUUGCUAGAGUAUGGGAGAGGGAAGUGGAAUUUCCGGGUGUAGCGGUGAAAUGCGUAGAUAUCGGAAGGAACAUCAGUGGCGAAGACGACUUCCUGGACCAAUACUGACGCUCAGGUGCGAAAGCGUGGGGGAGCAAACAG
rnacentral:rRNA from 1 species